CCCAGACUCCUACGGGAGGCAGCAGUCGGGAAUAUUGCGCAAUGGAGGAAACUCUGACGCAGUGACGCCGCGUGCAGGAAGAAGGUUUUCGGAUUGUAAACUGCUUUAGACAGGGAAGAAAAAAGACAGUACCUGUAGAAUAAGCUCCGGCUAACUACGUGCCAGCAGCCGCGGUAAUACGUAGGGAGCAAGCGUUAUCCGGAUUUACUGGGUGUAAAGGGAGCGUAGACGGCGAUGCAAGUCUGAAGUGAAAGCCCGGGGCUCAACCCCGGGACUGCUUUGGAAACUGUAUGGCUGGAGUACUGGAGAGGCAAGCGGAAUUCCUAGUGUAGCGGUGAAAUGCGUAGAUAUUAGGAAGAGCACCAGUGGCGAAGGCGGCUUGCUGGACAGUAACUGACGUUGAGGCUCGAAAGCGUGGGGAGCAAACAGGAUUAGAUACCCGGGUAC
rnacentral:rRNA from 1 species